rnacentral:rRNA from 1 species
UACAGAGGUCUCAAGCGUUGUUCGGAUUCAUUGGGCGUAAAGGGCGCGUAGGCGGCGGGGUAAGUCGGGUGUGAAAUCUCAGAGCUCAACUCUGAAAUGGCACUUGAUACUGCUCUGCUAGAGGACUGGAGAGGAGAUUGGAAUUCACGGUGUAGCAGUGAAAUGCGUAGAUAUCGUGAGGAAGACCGGUGGCGAAGGCGGAUCUCUGGACAGUUCCUGACGCUGAGGAGCGAAAGCGUGGGGAGCAAACAGG